UAGGGAAUAUUAGAAAUGGCCGAAAGUCUGAUCUAGCAACACCGCGUGUGCGAAGAAGGCCUUCGGGUUGUAAAGCACUUUUUGGAAGGAUUAGGAAGGAAUGUACUUCCAGAAUAAGUCUCGGCUAACUACGUGCCAGCAGCCGCGGUAACACGUAGGAGGCAAACGUUAUCCGGAUUUACUGGGCGUAAAGCGCGUGUAGGUGGUUCUGUAAGUAGGGCGUGAAAGCUCCUGGCUCAACUGGGAGAGGCCGUUCUAAACUGCAGAGCUAGAGGAUGGUAGAGGGAGGUGGAAUUCCGGGUGUAGCGGUGGAACGCGCAGAUAUCCUGAGGAACACCAGUGGCGAAAGCGGCCUCCUGGACCAUUCCUGACACUCAGACGCGAAAGCUAGGGUAGCAAACGG
rnacentral:rRNA from 1 species